rnacentral:lncRNA from 1 species
UGGUUUUAGUCGCUGCGUGUUCCAGCGGGGUCGGUGGUGCUGCAGCUGAGCAGGAGCUGAGUGCGCCCAUCCCCGAAUCACAACCUUUCAAAGGCCGUGUCCUCACAGAUGCUGUCCUGCAAACGCAGAGACACCAUCGACGCUAUUAACGAGGUUGCCACGGAGUUGAAGUGGGACAGGCACAGCUUGGUUUCUGCGGGUGCUUCUUUGUAAAGCUGGAACCACUACAGCACAGAGAUCCAAGAGAACAGCUCUUGGUAAUCGGAACCGGCUCAUAAGCCCAUCAUCAUCAUUGGCCAGUAAAUCUCUCUGGUCUCUGAAAAUUCGCUCUCUCCAAAUUCUUCCAUUCACCAAAUCUUCCAACUUUGCCAUAGCAGCCAUUGUGCGUCAUUACGCAUUGUAAUUGCAUGCCUUUUUAUACCCACCCAUUUGAUCGUCAAAGCUACCGAAUUGCAUAACACCUUCAGGUGUGGUAAUUACCCUGAUUGUAACUGACAAUGACAGGGCCAUCAACACGUUGAUAGUUCUGCGCAACGAACAUGUGAUAACAAUAUAUGAAACUGUGCACUUGUAUCUGCCCGACUGAGGCAUCGAAAACGGCAUCAGUUUAAACUUAGUUUGUCCUACUGUUCACAUUAUUUUUGAGAAUACAUUUCAUAACAUGCAAGUAUUGUUUAAUAAUUACAGAUCCAAAUAAAUAUGAUUCCUGAUUAACUGUACAACAUAUUUGAGGGGUUCUUUUGCAAAAAAGAUAUCUCCGUUUUUAUUUAUGAAUCUAAAUCAUGUUUUUUGUGGUUUUUUUGUGUGCAAUCUAGGGAACUCUUCAUAUAUAAUACGUGAGAGGUAAUAUUUUGAUUUAUUUUACACAAUGGUAUCAAUUUCAAAGCGUUUCUCAAGUUUCAUCCUUCUGCCAUAGGAGUCGCAGUUUCUCAUUUCUCCAGUUUAUGUGCGUACCUAUGGGUCAAAGUGUCCGUGGAGGACCGCACAUUCUCCCAUCAAGUUUGUUUUUUGUAAAUCCCAAAGUUUGCUUAGAAAGUGGCGUAAACCUUCUUUUGUGCCUACGCAAAGUUUCUAAAUGAGGCCCCAAGUCAUACACGGUAAAUCCAGCAGAUGUAAUAUCACUUCCUCGUUCUCAAUGGUUCACAGGUCUACAACUCCUAGCUAUUUUUUCCUUCCUGGUGUGGCUUAACCUCUUAUAUGUGGUUCGACCCGCCUUGUGAGCAUUCCCGUUGUUUCUGGGGAUUGUAGUUUUUGGUGGUCUGACAUUUUGUGCUUUGUAGUUCAUCUGGCAAUCCUUUAGUGAGAGGACAGAGCCUGUUUAUUAGUUCCGCCCUCACAUAUCUGCCAUUUAUAACUCGGCCCCCUUUUUUGGCACAAUAAUUGUGUAUAUAUACAGUGCUUUUGGAAAGUAUUCAGAACCAUUGACUUUUUCCACAUUUUGUUACGUUGUUACGUUAAAGCCUAAUUCUAAAAUGGAUUACAUUUUUUCCCCUCAUCAAUCUACACACAAAUUCUAAGGUACCUACCCAGUUCCUGAUUUACCCUUUCCACCUGCCCAUUAGACUGGGGAUGAUACUUGGAGGUGAGGCUGAUCAUGACCUCCAGUCGUUCCAUGAAGGCCCUUCCAGACACUGGAGGUAAAAGGAGCAUCACAGUCCGACACGAUGUCCUCCAUGAUCCCAUAGUGCCGGAAAACGUGAGAGAAGAGAGCCUCCGUGGUCUGCAGGGUCGUAGGGAGACCAGGCACACAAAAUAAAUGACAGGCUUUGGAAAACCGGGCCACAACAACCACAAUGGUGGUGUGCCCCUCUGAUUGGGGAAGGUCUGUGGCAAAGUCCACAGAGAGAUAGGACCAGGGUCGUUGUGGAACCAGCAGUGGGUGGAGUUUGCCAUAAGGGAGGUGUCUAGGUGUCUUGCUCUGUGCGCAGGUGAAGCAGGAAGAGAUUUAACCUGUUAUGGAUAGGGGGCAGUAUUGACACGGCCGGAUAAAAACACGUACCCGAUUUAAUCUGGUUACUACUCCUGCCCAGUAACUAGAAUAUGCAUAUAAUUAUUCUGGGCACGCUUUUCAUCCGAACAUUAAAAUACUGCCCCAUGUCCCAAACAGGUUUUAAACAUGAUUCCAUAUGUCCUUUCAUAGUUUUGAUGUCUUCACUUUUUACAUUCUAAAAUGUAGAAAAUAUUUACAAAAAAUAAAAAAAAACAGGAAUGAGUAGGUGUCCAAACUUUUGACUGGUACUGUAGUUGUAUUUGCUGAGUUCAUGUACAGAAGUUCAGGUAUGUUGACCUGUGGCGAUUCUCACCUCAAUAACCGUGUAGUAUUCCAUUAGACUGUACCUUGCCUUACUCUGUUAACUACCUAAUUUUCCAAAUUAUUUAGUGAAGUAAAUAAAACCAAAAUAAUGAAUUAUCUGUAGCCUUGAGUUCCGUUACAAGUGUUUGGGUCCUUGAAGUUUCCGAGUGUGCAAAACUUUUAGAAUGAGAACAUAGCCACUGACUGUUGAUUUAAUACUAUUGUUGAUAUGGGACUGGUACAACAGUUGGGAAAACUACUGAUAGAGUUAAUUAAAGGGAUCUCUAUAUAAAACAUUUAAUUUGGAUUCAUUUGAAUAGGAUAACUAAGUUAAUUAUAAUACAUUUGAUCAAAUGAUUAUUCCAGUAAUUAUUAAAUAAAUGAUCUUGAAUAUCCAAAGUCACAACAGAGACACUGUAGUUUACACAUAUGCCUUACAAUAGAUUAUCCUCAAGACUACAUUCUUACCCCAUGACCUACGAUAACUGUACCUAAUGUAUUAGCAACUAAAUAUAUACCUGCUUUUAGUUGCUUAAAUUUGUAAUAACAUAAUUAAUGUUCUACAUUUACAUUUACAUUUUAGUCAUUUAGCAGACGCUCUUAUCUAGAGCGACUUACAGUAGAGUGCAUACAUUUUGAUUACAUUUUUACAUACUGGCCCCCCGUGGGAAUCGAACCCACAACCCUGGCGUUGUUCUGUAAAUGUACACACUUUUGGAGCUCACUGUAUAUUCAAGUAUUGGGACAGUGACAGAUUUUCUGUUGUUUUUGCUUUAUGGGGUAUUUUGUGAAAUUGAUGAUAAUUGUAAUUUCUUUAAUCCAUCUUAGAAUAAAGCUGUAACGUAACAAAAUGGGGAAAAAGUAAAGGGGUCUGAAUACAUUUCGAAUGCACUGUAUAUAUACAGCACCAGUCAAAAGUUUGGACACACCUACUCAUUCCAGGGUUUUUCUUUAAUUGUACUAUUUUAAACAUUGUAGAAUAAUAGUGAAGACAUAACUAUGAAAUAACACACAUGAAAUCAUGUAGAAACCAAAAAAGUGUUAAACAAAUAUAUAUAUUUGAUAUUCUUCAAAGUAGUAACCCUUGCCUUGAUGACAGCUUUGCCCACUCUUGGCAUUCUCUCAACCAGCUUCACCUGGAAUGCUUUUCCAACAGUCUUGAAGGAGUUCCCACAGUUGUUGAGCACUUGUUGGUUUCUUUUGCUUCACUCUGCAGUCCAACUCAUCCCAAACCAUCUCAAUUGGGUUGAGUUCGGGUGAUUGUGGAGGCCAGGUCAUCUGAUGCAGCACAAUGUUUGGGGCAAAUCCAACACAACAGAUCACUGAGCACCACACCACAUUUUCAAGCAUGGUGGUGGCUGCAUCAUGUUAUGGGUAUAAUUGUCAUCGGCAAGGACUAGGGAGUUUAUGGUAAAAAGAAACAGAAUAGAGCUAAGCACAGGCAAAAUCCUAGAGGAAAACCUUGUUCAGUCUGUUUUCCAACAGACACUGGGAGACAAAUUCAACCUUUCAGCAGGACAAUAAUCUAAAACACAAGGCCAAAUAUACACUUGAGUUGCUUACCAAGACGGCAUGGAAUGUUUUUGAGUGGCUUGGUUACAGUUUUGACUGAAAUCAGCUUGAAAAUAUAUGGCAAGACUUAAAAAUGGCUCUAGCAAUGAUCAACAAACAGAGCUUGAAGAUUUGUUUUAAGAAUAAUGUACAAAUUGUACAAUAUUGUACAAUCCAGGUGUGCAAAGCUCUUAGAUUUAUCUAGAAAGACUCACAUCUGUAAUCACUGUCAAAGGUGAAAGGUGAAAACUUAACAAAAUGUGGGAAAAGUCAAGGGGUGUGAACUUUCUGAAGGCACUCUAGAUAUUUAGUUGCUAAUACAUUAGGUCCAGCUACCGUAGGUCAUGCGGAAAUAAUGUAAUAUUGAGGACAAUCUAUUGUAAGGUAUGUGUGUAAGCUAUCUUUGUGAUCACGUUUGCAAUCUAAUCUGUCUGUGUUUUAUCUCCAGUGUCGUCCUCCUCUUCCCCCGGUCAACUAGCUCUGACUGAUUCUCAAUCGCAGUGUAAAGGUCCCUGGCAGCCCUCGGCUGAUCAGUUCUGCACGAAGCUGGAAUAAACAAAGGGGUUACAUAAUUUAGUAAACAAGUUAACGCUACAUUCCUAUCCUCUUCAUGCUCCUUCCCACUCAUUCACUUCACAUCUUUAUUCAAUAUCCUUAUUUGUUAAAGCAAACUUACGCUUAAAUCCCUUUGAGUGAGGUUUUUCCUCAUUCUAUAAUCAUUUUUGGAGAUUAAUUAAUU